UACAGAGGGGGCAAGCGUUGUUCGGAAUUACUGGGCGUAAAGGGCGCGUAGGCGGCCUUCUAAGUCGAACGUGAAAUCCCCGGGCUCAACCCGGGAACUGCGUCCGAGACUGGAAGGCUCGAAUCCGGGAGAGGGAUGUGGAAUUCCAGGUGUAGCGGUGAAAUGCGUAGAUAUCUGGAGGAACAUCGGUGGCGAAGGCGGCAUCCUGGACCGGUAUUGACGCUGAGGCGCGAAGCCAGGGAGCAACGG
rnacentral:rRNA from 1 species